CAGGAAGUUGCAGGCAGGGGAGGAAGAGCUGGAGGAAGCUUCCUAGAGGAUUCCCUGGCUGCGGAUGCAAGCCAGUCACUCGGUUUAAACUCAAACCAGGACCAGUUUGACUGGGACAAAACCGCGCCAGGCUGAGUCGGCUCGAAACUUCUGCGCACAUCCCUAAUAUCCUGAGACAUCGCUGGUGCCACAAAGCCAAAUCCAGUGCCUCAGUCCAGUAAUAGUGAACUUCAGCAUCUUUACUAAUUACAUUAGCACAAAUCUGACAUGAGACACUCCUUAUCAUCCCUGCUCAACAGCUUAUAGCAUGUGUUGAUUUGAGUGGGAGUGGCUCUGGGCUAGCUUCUAGUACCAGGUGGUGGCAACAUACUCUUGCAAGCUGUGCCCAAGAUCCAAAUCUCACAGGGGGCCAAACUCUAGUAAGAGGUCAUUGCCACAAGGGACAGGGAUGCUCAGUAAUACCUUUUAGGACCAGAGCCUUAAGUGACAAGUAAGGACGACACUCAGUCUGUCUCGUAGUUAAAAUGUCUGUUAAAAAUGAAACUCCGUUUACAGCCAAACCUUUCCUGGUUGCCACUCAAGUCUUGUUAUUGACUGACCCUAUUAACAAGAUUCUAUUUGGGGAGAAAUAAUCUUGCCAUAAAACGCUUGCAGUGUAUUUCUUUUUCUCAUAUUGUUUCUUGCUCCACAGUAACUUUCAAAAUUCAUUAUUAAACAAAGGUUGUAUUUAAGAUUCCUCUGUCUACUGCUUAACAACACCCAAAUUAGCCUCGAUGGAAUUAACUGUAAUUAAGGACAUUGUGAAAUAUGGUUGGGGCAAACAGAAUUACACUGUAUUACUUUAUUAAUAAUAUUCUUUAACUACACUGUAAAUUGCUAUUAGGCCUGCAUAUUACUGCCUGGAUAUGGAAAUAGUCUUUUGCUAUGCUAAUCUAACACAAUUUUCUUUUAAAUGUAAACAAAUUAUACUCUAUUAAUAUGCUGUUCUACUUACAUAGUUAAUUAUUGUAACAGUAAGGAAUAAAAUUGUUCUGCUUUUUCUGUUUCUGAUGGAAAAAGGGCUACAUAAAUAGUUUAAUAGGGAAUAAUUAUGCAAAAAAUUUAGAUGCCUAAAAUGUGUUUGUAAUUACAUUAAAAUGGUCUUCUGUUCAAAUAUUGGAAAGCCUGCUAAUUGGAGGCUAGCUGGAAAUUUAAAUAUUGUGAAUCAAUGAUUUUAAUACACUA